AGUAAGGUAAGCUAAUAAUAAGCUUUUGGGUUCAUACCUCAAGAAUGGAAGGAUAGAUGCCUCCCUUUAUUU
rnacentral:tRNA from 1 species